GGGGAGGAGAAGAAUGUGGGCCAAAAGGAAUGGAGGAAUCUGGCCAGAGCUGUGCCCCUGCUUGCCACAGGAGCUGCGCGGGAGGAGAAGAAUGUGGGCCAAAAGGUAAGAGGAGCUCCUUUGGGUUCUGGGCUUGAAGCAAAGCUGAGAAGCCAUGCCCGGGAGGAGGUGUGGGUAGCUACAGGCCACCUUGCUAUCUCCCCAAGAGAUGAGGUGUGUGGGCUAGGCACCGGGCAGGAGUGCUGGCCAGAAGCAAGCAUCUCUGUGGAGGAAGGCAAAGGGCGGAGGAGGUUCAAGGGUAGCUACCGGGCAUGGCCUUGCUCAGCAAGGGGAGGAAAAGCCUGAAGGGCACGAGAAGGGGACAGAGAAGGGCAGGCAGUAGGCGUGAAGCUGUGAGCAGAGUAGAGAGCAACUUGGCAGAGCAGCAAGCAGAGUAGGCAAGUGCUGAGGUUUGGCGUGAGUAGCAGCAAAAGCCCAUAGCAUCAAGAAGCAGGAAGUGAGGAGAAGGUAAGUGAAGGGCAGGCAAGGUAAUGGGAGGCAAAGGCAAGGGGAAAGGGGAGGGUAAGGGAGAAAGAGGGGAUGGGGAGGGGAGGGGAUGGGUGAAGAGCAGAGCGGAGGGAAGGGCUGAGGGGAGGGCUGAAGGCAAACCAAUGAUGAAAAAAGAAAAGAAAAAAUAAGAACAAAAAAUAUGAAAUAAGAGAAAAAGAAAAGAAAAAUAAGAAAAAGAGAAAAAAGAAAAGAAAAAGAAAAAAAAAAAGAAAAAGAGAAAAGAAAAAAAAUGAACAAAAAAGAGAAAAAAGAGAAAAGAAAAAAAAUGAACAAAAAAGAGAAAAAAGAGAAAAGAAAAAAAUGAACAAAAAAGAGAAAAAGAGAAAAGAAAAAAAUGAACAAAAAGAGAAAAGAGAAAAGAAAAAAGAAAAGAAAAGGAAAAAAAAAGAAAAAAAGAAAAAAGAAAUAGAAAUAGAGGACAGAAAAAUAUAAAAAAAAGAAAAAAGAAAAAAAGAAAAGAAAAUAAUAGAUGAAAAAAGAGAAACAAAGGAAAAAUGGUUAAUGCAAGAGAAGAAAGGUAAAGAGAAAAGAAGAAAA
rnacentral:lncRNA from 7 species